GUGGCGCGGGGGGUCUGGUUUUGCUGCAAGGAAUUCCUUGUGUAACAAGAAAAAAGGCAAAUUCAGCGCAUAACUUUUACGCACUCCUAGGCUGACAUAAGUUGUGUGCCUUUAACAUGAUACCGAUAUUAAACACUUCAGCAUUUCUGCCUCCAGCGGCUCACGACACAGCCGCUGCAGGACAGGGGGAGACGGGACGGGACGGGGCUGGCUGGCUGGGCUGGCUGGCUGACUGACUGGCUGGCUGUGUGCGCAGUGCUGUGGUUUCCCUGUGGUUACUAAUAUGAAUGCGUGUGGUCGCCGGUGGCUGUGCUCUCCAGCGCGGCGGACUCGGUUGUUUCUUUCGCCUUUCGUGUGCUGUUCAGUCCACUCAGCAUCCAUGAAUCUUGAGACUGUGGUUAUGAAUUCAUUUUGCGCAAAGAGGAAUACAGACAGAAAUAUACCUUCCCUGCGUGGCCCUUUCAGACGGUCUGGGCACGGGGGUUUGCUUUUUUUUUUUCGGCCACUGCGCAAAGCCCAACUCCCUGAGUUAAGAUUUAGUGUGCGCGGUGUGUGUCGUACCACAGCAGCUUGUGAUGGUUACAGUGUUGAACAAACAUUCGUGUGAUGCUGGCGGUCAUUCUACCCAGCGUUACGCUUUAAAUUUUCUCAGGGACGCACGGUGUAAGGUGUGGGUGCAAGCGUUGAUUCACACUUCCGAUGCAUAUGUGUGGGUUUUCCCCUCGCAUGCUGCUGUGUGGAUGUGUCAGUCACAGUCCCUAGUUGAGCCCAUCGUUGUGUACUCUCUGACUGCACGGCCUCGGGAGAGAAAUACAACCAUCCGUCAAGAAUGUGUAAAAAGUCGGCCGAUGGCAGGCGGGCGGGCGGGCAGCCAGCCAGGCCACUUUUAGGCAACUCUUUGUAGUGCUGCCCGAGAGGUAAUAUGUCACGGCAUCCUCGACUUUGAAAGGCAGAGAGAAACAUCAACAAGGAGUGACUCAACAGCACAGAGGAGAAGUGUCCGGCACUGUGGUGGUGCAGCUCAGCAAGAAUUUUCUCUCCAACUCCCUCUGGCGAGUUGCUAUUUUGAGACUCCUAACGCCUUGUUCUGCCAUCUCCCUCUGGGCUUUGCAAGAACUAUUGAAGAGAUCACAAUACACAAUAGAAGGGGUUGAGAAAGUUUCAUUACUGCCCAUAUGAUUCAGGUAAUCACAGGGGGUAAAAUGGACUGUGCCAUGCUUUUUAAACAUGAAAGGUAAAUGGUGAGUCUUGUUCUUGUUCCCUAUAAAAAUUGUGAAAAUAUAAUCCACUGAAGACAUUCUA